CAUUUAUUCAGGUGGGAGGAGUGGUUUUUUUGGAGGUGGGGAAGGGGUUACUAAGAGGAAGGGACCAGAUAGAAGUAUCCGGCAGUAUUAACUCUAGAUCAGAUAUUUGCAGAAUUGCCUGGGAAUGAUACUGUGAAAAGUUGUUGGAUCCAAGCUCCACCCCUUCCUAAUUUAAACAUCCUCCUAAGCUAAUGAAGAGAAAAGAGCUUGUCCAGCUUCUUCAGUGUCCAAGGGAAAAAGGAAGAUGCUGUUAGCCAUGGCUCAGACUUUUCUGUUCCCUCUAUAGGGGACUACUAGAUCUCAGACCCCUUCUUCUCCUGGGAAGUUAAAGGGAUUGAUCUAGCCCAAGGAAUUUAAAUGUUCCCAAGUAUGAAUUGACAUUAAAUCUCAAGUACAUGUAAUUCUCUCCUGGAUGAGGGUUGUGUAUGAAAGGAUGGAAACCUCAGAAAGGUGGAAUAAUGUUCCUUACUAACAGAGAGCUUUCAAGCAUAUGAACUGCAUGAGGAAGUGUUUAAGAAGGUGGAUCAAGAAAACAAAAAGGAGCAAUAGAACAGCAAAAUCCUCACCAAUGAACUACUAAUACCUCCGCUUAGUGGCAAAGCUAUCGCACAGAAACAGCUGAGUUAAUGAGGUGCCUUCCCUGCCUUGCUGGGUAGAACUAAGGCUGCAAAAAGAAAUGUCCGUCUUCACAUCAAGAGGAGAAAGCCAGCAAAGCAUGAGAGAAGCAGUUGUGAGAAUAACCCUGGGAACAACAGAGACAGAGAUCCUUGGUGCAGAAGACUCACUGGAAUGGCAGGGUUGAAAAUUGUGAGCAAGGAAACUGCCUGAUUGUUCUUUUUUGCUUCUACUGUGUUCAGGGAAACAGGACUUGGUGGACAUACUUUGUAAAUAAGCACGAUUGCACCAGAAAAAUGCACUACUCCUAUCACCACUUUCUCCUUCUAAAGGAAUCAAACUCGCAAGGCCCAAAUAUUGCCUAACACUCAGGUCAAAGGGACAACAGGGGCCAAUUUUUAAAAAAUUGUCUUCACAUAGUUUGUGCAUUAAUUGAGCGCCCAAACAAGCAUCCAUUUACAUGUGUAAUCAUGGCAAUUACUUAUUCAAAUGUAGUAUGUGAACGUUUUGAAAACUUUUGUCCUGUGCAGAGGGAAAAUUUUGUCGAUACAUUAUUUGAGGGUUACCACACAUUGGUAAAUGGUUUUCUGGUGCAUUCUAUACAUAGUCUGUGGUAAUAAAUUGUAUUGUUAAUGAAAGAAAUAUUGCAUCACUUGUUUGUUAUUCAUGCCUGCCUUCAUGUUCUAUUCACCUGAAUACAAAUGAAAGAGAAAUGUACAAAUCAAUUAGUGUACAAAUCAAAUUCUAAUACCCCAUGCAUUGUUAAAUGUGUAAAUAUAAACAAAGAUACUUUGACAGGGUGUGUAUUAUUAUAAAAUGAAGAAAUGGCCUAUUGCUUAGAUAUAGUGGAACAUGUAUGAGAUACAGUGCUAUAAACAUGAACUAUAGAGAGUAAUUUGCAUAUAUUAACAUCAUCAAAUUAGUAUCUUUAAAAAUAAGGAGCACUGAAAUUUGAAACUCAGGAUUUUCCUGUUAAUAAAUGGCAUUUUAGUUCUCCACACUA